UCUGGUGCGUAUAGCUUUGGGGAAACACCCGUUCCCAUCUCGAAUACGGAAGUAAAGUCUAAAGCGUCGAUGAUACUUGGCUGGAGACGGCCUGGGAAAGUAGAUAGCGCCAGGA
rnacentral:rRNA from 1 species